rnacentral:rRNA from 1 species
ACGGAAGGCAGCAGUGGGGAAUAUUGGACAAUGGGGGAAACCCUGAUCCAGCGACGCCGCGUGAGUGAAGAAGUAUUUCGGUAUGUAAAGCUCUAUCAGCAAGGAAGAAAAUGACGGUACCUGACUAAGAAGCCCCGGCUAACUACGUGCCAGCAGCCGCGGUAAUACGUAGGGGGCGAGCGUUAUCCGGAUUUACUGGGUGUAAAGGGCGCGUAGGCGGGGAUGCAAGUCAGAUGUGAAAUCCAUGGGCUCAACCCAUGAACUGCAUUUGAAACUGUAUUUCUUGAGUGCUGGAGAGGUGGACGGAAUUCCUUGUGUAGCGGUGAAAUGCGUAGAUAUAAGGAAGAACACCAGUGGCGAAGGCGGUCUACUGGACAGUAACUGACGCUGAGGCGCGAAAGCGUGGGGAGCAAACAGGAUUAGAUACCCUGGUA